GAUACUAGAAUGUACUCUGUGGACAAUCUAUGUCCCAGCGGCAUCUCGUCUUCCUCUAAGCGCCAGCUCUGUUUCCAUCAGGAGCCACUUCUGAAGUCUCCUGAGCAUCUGGAAUUGGGGUUGGGGGGGGGAUUAGGAACAGGCUGGGCCGAGGGUAGGGGCUGCCAUCCCGAAGCAGGUGGAAGGACAGAGCCCCCCACGCUCCACACACCUGUGCGGAAGCCAGGAUGCGCCUGGUAACCCUCCUGACCGUCUGACUUAGAGGAAAGAGAACUGGGGAAACCACUAAGUAUUUUGAAGAAACAAGUCUGUGAAGAAUUGCAUCACUUUUUUCGAAAAAGGGAUGGGGGCGAGGAGAGAAGAAACUUCCAUGCUGGACUUGCAGGAAGAGAGGAUGUAGCUGAACCGGAGGAGGGAAGCGGUGGCAUCACUCAGGAAAAGGCGUUUGCUUGUCACGCGAUUAGACCAGUAACAGGUAGCACUGUCCAGGACCCUUCCCAUGUCCCUGGCGGGGUGGGAAGGCUCAGCUGGUGUGUCAGCGGGCAGCUCCUGCCCGAGGUCACGGCACACAGGGGCCCAUGUGCCCCCCCAACUCUACUCUCUGCUCACGGACCUGCGGACGCAGGGACGGAAAAAGAAGUCACUCGAAGGUCUUAAGUCUGCAUACUGUAUUUAUUUAGUUGUACUUUUUUCUUGUGAGGAGAGCAGACCCACCGUUUUAAAGCAGUGCUGCUCUCCUGGGGGAUGAGUGGGGGGAGCAGGGUCCUUUGUGCUUUGCACGUCUCUGGGAUCCAUGGGUUUCCCGGGCCUCCAGUCCCUGGCCUCUUCUGGCCUGGCUUCCCAUCCCCGUCUGGCCCUGCAGGGGGAACACACUUUACUUAGAAAAGCUAGACCUGGCCCCGGUUUCUUUUUCCCUGGAGUCUCAUGAUUUGCGUCUGUCGCAUUGAAACUGGAAAGCAGUCUCUCAGUGUCUGUGCCAAUUUUCGUUCCCUCCCCCCAUCUCCUUCCUCUAUUUGCUUUUUAUUUAUGUAGGAUGCGUGGUGUUUAGUGAUGGAAUGACCACUCUUUCUUGUUCAGCUGUCAAAGCACUCCUUUGCCGAGCCUCAGUGGUGGUGGUCGCUUUGGGUCACUGGGCGCCCCUGUCGUCCGUCUGACACUCAGGCCUGAGGGUCGGCAAAGCCGGUGGGCAGGUGAUUACCUGGAGGCCAGACGUGACCUUCCACAAGGCUCAGCCGCUGGACUUGGCAACGAGAAGUGACGCCUUGCCGUCUGGGCCCUAGGUCUGGGUCUGGAGCCUGAGCAGAGGGCAGCCCAGCCUCGGGCUGCAGGUGGCAGGCAGUCUCUCCGCAGCCACAUGUCUGAGUUUGAGCUCGGCCAUGUCUGUACCACCACAGGGGAAAGGACAGCUGCCACUUUCAUUAAAGUUCCCCGAGAUG
rnacentral:lncRNA from 1 species